rnacentral:ncRNA from 1 species
AGCACUCAUCGUGGUGAUUUGGCCGGCCGGCUUGCAGCCACGUUAAAUAAGUUGCUAAAGGGCCGAGGCAAGUUCUCC